UACAGAGGUCUCAAGCGUUGUUCGGAUUCAUUGGGCGUAAAGGGUGUGUAGGUGGCGCCGUAAGUCGGGUGUGAAAUCUCGGGGCUUAACUCCGAAACUGCAUUCGAUACUGCGGUGCUUGAGGACUGGAGAGGAGACUGGAAUUCAUGGUGUAGCAGUGAAAUGCGUAGAUAUCAAGUGGAACACCAGUGGCGAAGGCGAGUCUCUGGACAUUUACUGACGCUGAGGCACGAAAGCGAGGGGAGCAAACGGG
rnacentral:rRNA from 1 species